AGUGAACGCUGGCGGUAGGCCUAACACAUGCAAGUCGAACGGCCGCACAGUAAGCUCUUGCUCUUACGGGUGGCGAGUGGCGGACGGGUGAGGCAUACAUCGGAAUCUACUUUUUCGUGGGUGAUAACGUAGGGAAACUUACGCUAAUACCGCAUACGACCUACGGCUGAAAGCAGGGGAUCUUCGGACCUUUCGCGAUUGAAUGAGCCGAUGUCGGAUUAGCUAGUUGGUGGGGUAAAGGCCCACCAAGGCGACGAUCCGUAGCUGGUCUGAGAGGAUGAUCAGCCACACUGGAACUGAGACACGGUCCAGACUCCUACGGGAGGCAGCAGUGGGGAAUAUUGGACAAUGGGCGCAAGCCUGAUCCAGCCAUACCGCGUGGGUGAAGAAGGCCUUCGGGUUGUAAAGCCCUUUUGUUGGGAAAGAAAAGCAGCAGGUUAAUACCCCGCUGUUCUGACGGUACCCAAAGAAUAAGCACCGGCUAACUUCGUG
rnacentral:rRNA from 1 species